GAUGAACGCUGGCGGCGUGCCUAAUACAUGCAAGUCGAGCGAACAGACGAGGAGCUUGCUCCUCUGACGUUAGCGGCGGACGGGUGAGUAACACGUGGAUAACCUACCUAUAAGACUGGGAUAACUUCGGGAAACCGGAGCUAAUACCGGAUAAUAUAUUGAACCGCAUGGUUCAAUAGUGAAAGACGGUUUUGCUGUCACUUAUAGAUGGAUUCGCGCCGCAUUAGCUAGUUGGUAAGGUAACGGCUUACCAAGGCGACGAUGCGUAGCCGACCUGAGAGGGUGAUCGGCCACACUGGAACUGAGACACGGUCCAGACUCCUACGGGAGGCAGCAGUAGGGAAUCUUGCGCAAUGGGCGAAAGCCUGACGGAGCAACACCGCGUGAGUGAUGAAGGUCUUCGGAUCGUAAAACUCUGUUAUUAGGGAAGAACAGAUGUGUGAGUAACUAUGCACGUCUUGACGGUACCUAAUGAGAAAGCCACGGCUAACUACGUG
rnacentral:rRNA from 1 species